AUGGUCCAAUGGUUUUGUUUUAUGCCAAUUUUCCAAAACGAUGGACACAUCGUUGACCAAUUAUAUACAGGAGGCAGGGCUUCUCUGGAAAGCCCUCCCAAAGCAGUGAGCCCCUGCAUGGUCGCCUAGGAAACCCCGUGGCGUGGUUGUGUGUCAGUUUCGCUGGGACCCGCGGUCGAUGCCGGUGAGGAGGGGGAUGGGUGCCUCAGCGAAUGUAAGGACCCGAGACAGAAUCAGAGCCCUAUACCACAUAGAGCAGCAUAUACCCUUUUAUAAAUAUCGAUUGUAAAUAUUCAUAACACCAUAAUAAAUGGACUAAACCACUGGGAUUUUAACAUAGACACUCGAUGGAAGUGCUGUGUCCAAACAGUACACGGAAUUAAACUUUAAACCUUUACGUGGGGACAGUGAGAAGUUUGUUUCCUACACCAGAAGAGGGAGCUACUUUUGAGGGCAAAGGAUACAGGAGACGCCGAGGCCGAGGUGCAGGCCUUGUGGUCUGAGUCGAUUUGAUGUUGGAAUACUCGAAGAUCUGCAUACAACACAGUUAUUUAUUUUAUUCGUACUGGAUUGGAAUGUCUCUCUAGGUCUCCCCAUGUCCGUGAGCCGUCGCCUGCGGCUCUGCGGCGCCCCACCCCUGGAGUGGUCAGUCGCUGCAGUUCGGACCCCGUGAUCGUCCACA